AGGACGAACGCUGGCGGCGUGCUUAACACAUGCAAGUCGAACGAGGUGCUUGCACCUAGUGGCGAACGGGUGAGUAACACGUGAGCAACCUGCCCUUGGCUCUGGGAUAGCCUCCGGAAACGGGGAUUAAUACCGGACAUGACCUUCUCCUGCAUGGGGGAGGGUGGAAAGUUUUUCGGCCAGGGAGGGGCUCGCGGCCUAUCAGCUUGUUGGAGGGGUAACGGCCCACCAAGGCGACGACGGGUAGCCGGCCUGAGAGGGCGACCGGCCACACUGGGACUGAGACACGGCCCAGACUCCUACGGGAGGCAGCAGUGGGGAAUAUGCGCAAUGGGGGAAACCCUGACGCAGCGACGCCGCGUGCGGGAUGAAGGCCUUCGGGUUGUAAACCGCUUUCACCAGGGACGAAGCGAGAGUGACGGUACCUGGGGAAGAAGGCGCCGGCUAACUACGUGCCAGCAGCCGC
rnacentral:rRNA from 1 species